AUUGAACGCUGGCGGCAGGCUUAACACAUGCAAGUCGAGCGGAGAUGAGGUGCUUGCACCUUAUCUUAGCGGCGGACGGGUGAGUAAUGCUUAGGAAUCUGCCUAUUAGUGGGGGACAACAUUCCGAAAGGAAUGCUAAUACCGCAUACGCCCUACGGGGGAAAGCAGGGGAUCUUCGGACCUUGCGCUAAUAGAUGAGCCUAAGUCGGAUUAGCUAGUUGGUGGGGUAAAGGCCUACCACGGCGACGAUCUGUAGCGGGUCUGAGAGGAUGAUCCGCCACACUGGGACUGAGACACGGCCCAGACUCCUACGGGAGGCAGCAGUGGGGAAUAUUGGACAAUGGGCGGAAGCCUGAUCCAGCCAUGCCGCAUGUGUGAAGAAGGCCUUUUGGUUGUAAAGCACUUUAAGCGAGGAGGAGGCUGCCUGGAUUAAUACUCUAGGAUAGUGGACGUUACUCGCAGAAUAAGCACCGGCUAACUCUGUGCCAGCCGCCGCGGUAACAC
rnacentral:rRNA from 1 species